AGAACCUAGUUGAACUCCAAGUGCCUGAUUCUUGAAAUUUGCCACUCUGUUUCUCUCUGCUAUUCAAACUUUGGAUGGAAGAUAAUCAUAGGUGACUGUGGUGAUUAGGUCAGUGACUUGCACGUAGUGUAUAUUCAAUAAAUGUGAUCUACCAUUAAGGGAAACAAAAGAAUUCAGACACCUAUGCCAUAUCUCGAAACCAGAUGGGGUCUUUGUUAUUUAGUUCCUUUUCUAAUGCUGCCAUGUGAGUAAGUAAACGAACACAGGGCCACUGUGGGUUGGCUGCAAUUUGGAAAUCAUUCACUAUUUUAAGUCUCAUUGCAUUUUUGACACGGAAGGAGACAGAGGCACAAAAAGAGUGGGCUACCAGCUAACUCAAAUAGUGCUGAGAACCUCCACUUUCAGCAUCCUUUCCUUCUAUAUUCCUCUAAAGAUGUGCUAGUUGACUUUUUUCUUUUUCUUUUCUUUUUUUUUUUCGCUCAGCAGGCAGUGUAUGAGGGGUACACAUAAGGAAGAAGAAAAAACGUUCUUCUUACCAUCUCAUGCUUUAUUUACCCUAAAUUUCUGUCCUCUGUUGUGCCAUUUUUUAAAGCUACAUCCCCUGCUGAGAUGUUUACAUGGCCAAAGAGAGCAGCAGAGGCUCCUGGGCUUGAAGGGAGGAAGCAGUCUGCUGAGACGCCAUUCCCAUCAGUGUUUUUGGGUCAGCGCUGCUGACAUGGCAGGAGAAAGAGCUUGAAAGGAUCAGGAGGAGAAGGGCCCGAUGAAGCCAUCAUGUGACAAGAAUCCUAAGACUGCCGCGGAAAGGAAAAAAAAAAGCAAGAGCCGGGCAGGAUCCCGGGCGCGGCUGAUAGAGUCGUCGGAGCCGCCCGAGUGACCUGCUCACUGAGCAACCAGGGCGCUCGGACCACCGAGGACGCAGACCAGCGCGGGCCAGGCGGAGCCGGGGAAGCAAACUUCGCUAAAUUAAAGAAAUCUCCAUGGAAAUUAGCAUGAAACAUUUUCUAAUCUCCCGCUUUUCACUGCCGACAAGGGUCACUGGUUUAGCUUUCCUCUUAUUUUAUUAUUCCCCAGCCACUUCCCUGGCAUCUUUAGACCCUUCCAUCCUGCCACGGGUUUUCAGCCCCGUCUAUGUCAUGUCUUGCCGGGAUUCUUAACCCUUUUAGGCUACCUCUUCUGAAAAAAAAAAAAUAGUAUUAUUAUUGUGGUUGCUGCUGUCAUUGUUAUUAUCCGCACAUCCACCGGGAUGAACGUGCUGGCUCUUCUAAUGCAAUUAUGUGCACCGGGAGCCUUGGAGAGCACUGCUCUUUCUCACCUCUGGGCAGCGCAGUCACUACCUUGCACUGAGUUCACUCCCAAACCCAGCUGCAGGAUGGGCAGGUGAGGCAGCUGUCCCCUUCCUUAACCGUGGCAUUACAGUUUUCGGGCUUUUCCUCUCUGUCACCUUGAUUGUCUGGCAGAAUGAAGUGCCACCAACCUCAGGUACUCCUAAGGUGCGAUGCCCAGGCAGCUCCCACCUGGGCAGGGAGGGGCGUACAGCUCCAAGCAGUGUGUGUGUGUAUGUGUGUGUGUGUGUGUCCGCGCACGCGUGCAUGCAAUCAUGCUUACCCGGCCUUAGGCGUGUCACCUAACCUCUUGGAGCCACUUUAACUCAUUAGGAAAAUGGGAAUAUUACACCCUCAUAAGGCAGUGAAAAGCAUUAUGGGAUGUGGUGAAAGUGAAGCUUUUUACAUAUUAAUAGAUACCCAGAGAAAGACGAUAAGCCUUAAAAGUAAGAACUACACACCCUGCAACAAUUUUUAAAAAUUGAUGACAUAUCUUAAGAUGUGAAAAUUACAUAUUUAGGUCUCUUAUUCAUUAAACACCUCCAACUGGAGCCUUUGGGAGUCAGGACUCUACAUCCAUCAAAUCAACCGUAAAAAGGAAAAAGUAUUAAUAACGUGUAGUGAGUGCUCACAUAUGCUAGAUAGCUUUAGGGACACUGUCUUAUUUAAUCCCUAAGGCAUCUCAACUUUAGUGGGUUCUUUGAAGUCAGAGGCUGUGCUGUUUUUUAUUCAUCUAGGUAUCGCUAGAUCGUGAGAUAGUUCCUAACAGAGUAGAAGCUUCUUGUUACUAUCAAAGGCCUCUGUGUUCCAUAUUCUGCACUCAGAACCGUACAUAUCCUAUUUAAUCACCUCUCGAACUCUGUCGGUUAAGCAUUGCUGCAUUUUGUAGAUGGGAAAACUGUAGGGAAAGCAAAGGAACUUGCUGCAAAUCACAGCCUCAGUAGUCAACGGUGAUGAAAUUUGAGGAUCUGAUUCAAUUCGCCAAGUGAUCUCCAUUCAGUGAAAGAGAAAAUGGAAGCAAAGAGAGGUGAAGUAACUUUCCCAGACUUGCACAGUGAAUAAAUUUGCAGAUCCAAGAUCUAGAUCA
rnacentral:lncRNA from 13 species